GGGAUCUACCGUCUACCAUCAUAGGGCAGAGCAGCCUCCACUAUGGUACGAGAUGUGAUCGUAUGUUGCUCCACCUCACAGGACAAAAGACUCCUGAUGACAGUACUCCGAGGCAAGAAGCCACUGACUUUUGAAGGAGCAAGUCUCUCUAUCUACCAGGACCUCACCAGAACCACGCUACAAUGGUGAAGAUCCCUGAAUCCCGUCACCAGGCACAUCCUCUGACUGUUUGACUCCGCAACCAGAAACCUGACUACAUUGAGAGCCAAUAUACACAUUUGCAGCCCGAACAUUCAUAUAUUGUUUAGAUAACGUUUUAUUUAAAACCAGUUUAAUUGUUUCCCUACGUUAGAGAGCCUACUUGCCCGCAACUGUAUGCUCAUGCACCCAAAAUCUUGGGGCUUAUGGUAAGGAUUGUUAUACCACUCCACUGACAGCCCUCACCAUCCCCUAAUGAUGCCACCUUGGUUUGGGGCACAUUUGGAAGAAGGCCACAUUAUAAAAACCCACUCAGGUUACAUUUAUUAUCUCCUGCUCCACACGGCCAUUCUCCCUAAGCACUUCACGCACUCCAGUUAACGUACCAAUGUUGGAUUGUAACACGUGAUAAAUGCCUAGCUACUGACAUGUAAAACACCUUCUUAAGCGUAUGUGACUACCUUUUACUUUACUCGAUUUCUGUAACAUAUCCUGCAUUGAUGGGAUAAAAACAAAAAUUUCAAUAAAAAGAGAUAAGCAAAAACUUCCAAAGCAAGUUAACAUCUGAUUGAAAAUGGAAUGUACAUGAUGGCUGUGUGAGUCACAGGCAAGGGUGGUGUGACUAGGGCUGCAUAAGCAGAAACAAAAGUUAUUUAACUUCUAAAUGGAAAAUUAUCUGAAAUCGGUCCAUUGAUACGUUGGUGGUUUGUGCCCAGAAUUCCAAUUGCUAAAUUUAGGCUACAAAUAGCAGAGUAUAAGAAUGUUUCCUGAUCAGAUGUUUAUUUGUUACAAUUUGGAGUUUAGUGAAUAACCCUCUUGGAGUUUAUUCCCAAAAGAGAAAACUGUAGUGAAUUGAAAACCAAAUGACAAUUUUAUUUGGCAAAAAAAUAACAAAUUUGGAAAUCUCACAGCUGACCACAGUUUGCUGUUUAGUAAAUAAGCCGCCCUUGGAUGUAUUUCUCAGGAAGGUGGUAACUAGGGGCUGGCUCUUUAGAAAUGCCAGUAAUAAAACAUAAAAUAAACUACAACUCCCACAAUUCCAAACCAAGACCAUCACCUGAUCUAGAGUAAGUGCCAUGGAAACAAUUACUCUAAACAUGCCAGUUUUCUGUAUGUUUUAGAAAUUAGCUCAGGACAGUGAGUCCCAUGAGCAUUCUGAGAGUUGCAGUCCACAGCCAUUGUUAUAGGAGUUGUAGUCCAUAGCAGCUGGCUAAGUGUGAGCUGCUACCCAGGCUCUCUCUGUCAUGGCUGCCCAUCACUGGGCUGUAUAUACAGCUACUCACCAGGUCUCAGUGAGCUGCUCUAGGCAUCACUCUCUGCCUGUACAUCCAGAGGCUGCUACCAGGACAAAUCCCCUGAAAGGCUGUCAGGCAACAUUGUCUCAGUCUGCAUCCCUUGCUGUGCCUGGCUCCUCCCAUUGCCA
rnacentral:lncRNA from 1 species